rnacentral:misc_RNA from 1 species
AAGUCGUAACAAGGUCUCCGUAGGGUAUGUCAACCAGUCCACGCUCAACCGUUAUUGUACGUACUAACUCUUUUCCAGUGAACCUGCGGAGGGAUCAUUACCGAGUGAGGGCCUCCGGGCUCGACCUCCAACCCUUGUUGUUACAAUCUCUGUUGCCUUGGGGGCGACCCGGCCACCGCGUCGGAGCCCCACGUGGAUCAAUCAAACACUGCGUCUCUGCGUCUGAGUCAUAAGUAAAUCAAUUAAAA